rnacentral:rRNA from 1 species
CCUGUUGAAAAAUUCUGAGAUGAACUGAGGCUGGGGGUGAAAGGCCAAUCAAACUCAGCGAUAGCUGGUUCUCCUCGAAAUGUAUUUAGGUACAGGGUUCGAUGUUUCGUUGUAGGGGUAGAGCGCUGUUUGGGCUAGGGGCCUUACCCGGUUACCAAACCCAGGCAAACUACGAAUACUACAACGUUAGAGUUGAGCACUGAGUCAGUGGGUGAUAACGUUCAUUGGCGAGAGGGAAACAACCCGGACCGACAGCUAAGGUUCCUAAAUCUAUGCUAAGUGAUAAAGGAUGUUCAAUCGCACAGACAAUUAGGAGGUUGGCUUAGAAGCAGCCACCCUUUAAAGAGUGCGUAAUAGCUCACUAAUCGAGCGAUUGGGCGCCGAAAAUGUACGGAUCUAAGCAUAGUACCGAAGCUUCGGAUGUGUAGCAAUACACGUGGUAGAGGAGCGUUCCUACAGCGGUGAAGGUAUAGCGAGAGCAGUGCUGGAGCGGUAGGAAGUGAGAAUGCAGGCAUGAGUAGCGAAAAUGACGGUUAAAUUCCGUCACACCGUAAGCCCAAGGGUUCCGCAGCAAGGUAACUCCGCUGCGGGUUAGCCGGUUCCUAAGGCGAGGCCGAAAGGCGUAGUCGACGGUAACCUGGUUUAUAUUCCAGGGCUUAGUUUAAGUGGUUUGAGCGAUGGGGUGACGCAGGAAGAUAGGGAAGCAGCCUAAUGGAUGGCUGUACAAGGUCGUAGGCGUUGAGAUGGUUUGGUAAAUCCGGCCGUUGAGCUGAAAGCUGAUAUCGAGUGGGCCUUCGGGUUUCACGAAGUUUCUGAUUCUAGGCUGCCAAGAAAAACCUCUAAGUGACACUUAGAUUAAACCGUACCCUAAACCGACACAGGUGGGCGAGGAGAGAAUCCUCAGGUGCGCGAGAGAAACCUCGUUAAGGAACUCGGCAAAAUGACCCCGUAACUUCGGGAGAAGGGGUGCCUCAUUAUCGUGCAAGCGAGAAGAGGCUGCAAUAAAGAGUCCGCGGCGACUGUUUACCAAAAACACAGGUCUAUGCAAACACGUAAGUGGAAGUAUAUGGGCUGAUACCUGCCCGGUGCUGGAAGGUUAACAGGAGAUGUUAGACGUAAGUCGAAGCAUUGAAUCGAAGCCCCAGUAAACGGCGGCCGUAACUAUGACGGUCCUAAGGUAGCGAAAUUCCUUGUCGGGUAAAUUCCGACCUGCACGAAUGGUGUAACGACUGUGGAACUGUCUCAACGAGGAUCUCGGCGAAAUUGUAGUGGCAGUGAAGAUGCUGCCUACCCGCAGUGGGACAGAAAGACCCCGUGAACCUUUACUGUAACUUGGCAUUGGUUUUCGGUUUUGUAUGUGUAGGAUAGGUGGGAGACCCUGAAGUUGCGGCGCUAGCCGUGAUGGAGUCGUCCUUGAAAUACCACCCUUACGAAAUUGAAAACCUAACCUGGCC